UGAGGAAUCUUCCGCAAUGGGCGCAAGCCUGACGGAGCGACGCCGCGUGAAGGAUGAAGGCCCUUACGGGUCGUAAACUUCUGUUCUGAGGGACGAAAUUUUUUGACGGUACCUCAGGAGAAAGUAUCGGCAAACCCUGUGCCAGCAGCCGCGGUAAGACAGGGGAUACAAGCGUUACUCGGAAUUACUGGGCGUAAAGCGUCUGUAGGUGCUUUGGUAAGUCUGUGGUAAAAGCUCGGGGCUCAACCCCGAGAGCGUCAUGGAAACUACCGAAGUUGAGCAGUAGAGAGGCAUCUGGAAUGCCGCAUGUAGGAGUAAAAUCCGUAGAUAUGCGGUAGAACGCCAAAAGCGUAGGCAGGAUGCUAGCUACUUGCUGACACUGAGAGACGAAAGCGUGGGGAGCGAAGCGGAUUAGAUACCCCGGUAGUCCCUGAGCGGGCUGGCAAGGCGCAU
rnacentral:rRNA from 1 species